GCGCAGUUGGCGUAGUGGUUUAACGCGUGCACUUCACAACUUGUGCUGAGGGAUUGGCUACCCCGAGGACGCAUGUUCGAUUGGGGCACGGCAAAGACCGCAGUACAACAAUGUGGUGCGAAACCCGGGUUCGAAUCUCGGACUGUGCA